UACGGAGGAUGCGAGCGUUAUCCGGAUUUAUUGGGUUUAAAGGGUGCGUAGGCGGGCUUUUAAGUCAGCGGUAAAAAUUCGGGGCUCAACCCCGUCCGGCCGUUGAAACUGGCGGCCUCGAGUGGGCGAGAAGUAUGCGGAAUGCGUGGUGUAGCGGUGAAAUGCAUAGAUAUCACGCAGAACUCCGAUUGCGAAGGCAGCAUGCCGGCUUCCUACUGACGCUGAAGCACGAAAGCGUGGGGAUCGAACAGG
rnacentral:rRNA from 1 species